GAGAUUUGCUUAGAGCAGAGUGCUUGAAGAAAUGGCUCCUCUGUUCAUACCAUACCCAACAGAAAUCUGGGUCCAUGAAUAAAGGGCACAAAGCUUGCCUCUAAUGAAAAAUAUCUCACAUGU